rnacentral:rRNA from 1 species
GGCCUAACACAUGCAAGUCGAGCGGUAAGGCCUUUCGGGGUACACGAGCGGCGAACGGGUGAGUAACACGUGGGUGAUCUGCCCUGCACUCUGGGAUAAGCUUGGGAAACUGGGUCUAAUACCGGAUAUGACCACAGUGCGCAUGUGUUGUGGUGGAAAGAUUUAUCGGUGCAGGAUGGGCCCGCGGCCUAUCAGCUUGUUGGUGGGGUAAUGGCCUACCAAGGCGACGACGGGUAGCCGACCUGAGAGGGUGACCGGCCACACUGGGACUGAGACACGGCCCAGACUCCUACGGGAGGCAGCAGUUGGGAAUAUUGCACAAUGGGCGCAACCUGAUGCAGCGACGCCGCGUGAGGGAUGACGGCCUUCGGGUUGUAAACCUCUUUCAGUAGGGAAGAAGCGAAAGUGACGGUACCUGCAGAAGAAGCGCCGGCUAACUACGUGCCAGCAGCCGCGGUAAU